UGGGGAAUUGUUCGCAAUGGGCGCAAGCCUGACGACGCAACGCCGCGUGGAGGAUGAAGGUCUUCGGAUCGUAAACUCCUGUUGCCCGGGACGAAUGGCUCCGACCUAACACGUCGGAGUGUGACGGUACCGGGUGAGGAAGCCCCGGCUAACUCUGUGCCAGCAGCCGCGGUAAUACAGAGGGGGCAAGCGUUGUUCGGAAUUACUGGGCGUAAAGGGCGCGUAGGCGGCCCGCUAAGUCGAACGUGAAAUCCCCGGGCUCAACCCGGGAACUGCGUCCGAUACUGGCGGGCUUGAAUCCGGGAGAGGGAUGCGGAAUUCCAGGUGUAGCGGUGAAAUGCGUAGAUAUCUGGAGGAACACCGGUGGCGAAGGCGGCAUCCUGGACCGGUAUUGACGCUGAGGCGCGAAAGCCAGGGGAGCAAACGGGAUUAGAUACCCAAGUAGUCCCUGAGCGGGCUGGCAAGGCGCAU
rnacentral:rRNA from 1 species